rnacentral:snRNA from 1 species
UUUUCAAAUACUUGAACGGGUCU